UAUAAUUUUUUUAUUAGAAAAAUUCCCAUCGUUUAAAGGUUUCAAGGUUAGAGAUCCAACAUUUACAUUUCCAUACAAAUUCUACAUUAUGCCAUAAACCUUUGUUGCUGCAAAUCCUAGAUUAAAGGAAAUAUUUACUGGGCUAUGAGGACUUGUUCAACAAAAGAAAAAACAAAUAGGUUUAAAACUAUUUUCACGUAUGUAUGAAUUAUUCAAACUUGUUCGAUAUUUUAAGUAAUUUUUAAUUAUUUUUUAUUUCUAUAAACUACUUAAAUCAGAUAUUUUAUAUUAUUGUAAUAUAGGGUUCACCGUAAAAAACAUAGUGAUAGGGUUUACUUUGGCUGACUAUAUAAACAGUGUCUUCCUUCUUCUCAUAUGUGGCGCUGCAAUGCCACCAAAGGAAGCCGUUUCAUUACGGUGCCGUUUGCUUUGUCUUUCAUUUUCUGCAUUUCAUUCCUUGUUAAUUUCUGUUUUCCCAAAUAAUUUCUGCCAUUGCAGAUCGUUGAAAACUUAUCAUAGCUUUUGCCUUUUCGGUUUCUAUUUUAUGUAUGAAUUGUGAUUCAUCGAAGCCAAUGAUGAUUUUUGCUUGUAGCAAGUGCCGUCUUAAAACCAUACUCUUUGUACGGUGUGUGAUGCACAUUUUCACAUUAUCUGAGGCUUUAUUCUUUUUGUUCUGAAUCUGAUCUCAAUUUUUUUUUUCAAAGCAGAGGUUAGGGUUUUCUUUUAAAUCAAACGUAAUGUAUCCUGGUUCUAAUAUUUAGGUUAAUGCUCAUAUGCGUAUCGUCCUAAUAGUUAAAUCUUAUUAGUUCCGUCCGCAAGUGCUUGAGUGCUUCUCAUUCUAUGUUUUGGAAGUAUUUUUUCAAAAGAAAGCCAAUUUGCAGAGCAAGUGCGUGUAUUAUGUUAAAAUGACGAAACUUGCAUUGAAGGUUGGCGAGAACAAUUGCGAUUCUCCGUGCCUAUCAGAUUCACUUUGUUUUGAUUAUGGCCUCGAACAAGUCGCUACAUUGUCUAUAUUUUUCUUUUCUUUUUAUCGAUUGCUUUCACUGAAUUUUUUGCAGGGUUUUUUAUUUUGUUUUGAAAACGUUGCUUUCACUGAAAUUGGGUAAGGCGUAUUGUGUUCAGUUCUAAUUGUUUUCGUCAGCAAGUGUUUCAGUGCAUCUCAUUCUAUGUUUUCGAAGUUUUUGUUUAAGAGAAAGCCAAUUUGCAGAGCAAGUGCGUGUAUUAUGUAAAAGUGACGAAACUUGCAUUGAAGGGUUUUUUUAUUUUGUGAAUAGAUCAAAGUUGAGGUCUUUGAAUGAAUGUGAUUUGAUGAAUGAUCGAAGCUCUUAAUCUGUAUACUCAACUUUUCCUUUUUAUAAUUUACUCUAAAGUUUACCCACUCAUGUUCGAUUUGUUUGUAUCAACCUGGAUUAGACAAGAGUAUCAAAAAAUCCCCAGAAUAAUGGACCAUUGAAAUAUACAACCAUGUACCAGAUACAAACCUUUAUUCAAGCAUAAUGAAGAAACAUCGCAAAUUGUGCUGCUCCAGAAUAACAGUAUUAGCUCAAACCCUUUGUUGCAUCAACUUGGCCUGUAAGAAACAUAAUUAGUACUUUUACUGGGUGGGUUAAAGUAUUAGCCAAAUUCAUUACAAAUAACUGGUUUAGUGUUAUCCCUAGUCACUCUGCCUUGUAUGCUCUGAUUGUAGGGAAGUAAGGUUUUAAAAUUCUCUCUUGGUCAUGAUUGCAAUUCCAUUCUGAUAUGUGGUAUUGCGUAAAGAAAAAGAUAACAUACUGCAAUUAUUUAAAAAAGAACUUGCUGCAAAGAGAAGUGCAUGAUCGUGGAAAGUGGGCCUAAUAUGUGGAUGUAGUCUAUAAACAUUUGAGGGAGGAAGGAACUGGCCAAAUUUAAGUUGCUUCUUGUCUUGGCUAAGCUAGAAAUGGUAGGUAGGGUCAAGGGAGGAAGGUAUCUAAUUGGUGGAGCCCUUUUAAGGUUUGUUCCGUAGGAGUGGAGCCCCUUUGGUGAGUUUCACUUGUGGAUUUGCAUUAUGGAAAUGGACUUUGGACUUUUAUACA